rnacentral:rRNA from 1 species
AACGAACGCUGGCGGCAUGCCUAACACAUGCAAGUCGAACGAAGCCUUCGGGCUUAGUGGCGCACGGGUGCGUAACGCGUGGGAAUCUGCCCUUGGGUUCGGAAUAACAGUUAGAAAUGACUGCUAAUACCGGAUGAUGUCUUCGGACCAAAGAUUUAUCGCCCAAGGAUGAGCCCGCGUAGGAUUAGGUAGUUGGUGGGGUAUGGACCACCAAGCCGACGAUCCUUAGCUGGUCUGAGAGGAUGAUCAGCCACACUGGGACUGAGACACGGCCCAGAGUCCUACGGGAGGCAGCAGUGGGGAAGAUUGGACAAUGGGCGAAAGCCUGAUCCAGCAAUGCCGCGUGAGUGAUGAAGGCCUUAGGGUUGUAAAGCUCUUUUAGCAGGGAUGAUAAUGACAGUACCUGGGGAAUAGGCUCCGGCUAACUCCGUGCCAGCAGCCGCCGAAA